GACGGUGAAUGCAAGCGUUAUCCGGAAUCACUGGGCGUAAAGCGUCUGUAGGUGGUUUAAUAAGUCAACUGUUAAAUCUUGAAGCUCAACUUCAAAAUCGGAGUCGAAACUAUUAGACUAGAGUAUAGUAGGGGUAAAGGGAAUUUCCAGUGGAGCGGUGAAAUGCGUAGAUAUUGGAAAGAACACCGAUAGCGAAGGCACGUUACGGGGCUAUUAUUGAGCCUCAUAGACGAAAGAUAGGGUAGCAAAUGGG
rnacentral:rRNA from 1 species